rnacentral:rRNA from 1 species
AUUGAACGCUGGCGGCAGGCCUAACACAUGCAAGUCGAACGGUAGCACAGAGAGCUUGCUCUCGGGUGACGAGUGGCGGACGGGUGAGUAACGUCUGGGAAACUGCCCGAUGGAGGGGGAUAACUACUGGAAACGGUAGCUAAUACCGCAUAACGUCGCAAGACCAAAGUGGGGGACCUUCGGGCCUCCCACCAACGGAUGUGCCCAGAUGGGAUUAGCUAGUAGGUGGGGUAAUGGCUCACCUAGGCGACGAUCCCUAGCUGGUCGGAGAGGAUGACCAGCCACACUGGAACUGAGACACGGUCCAGACUCCUACGGGAGGCAGCAGUGGGGAAUAUUGCACAAUGGGCGCAAGCCUGAUGCAGCCAUGCCGCGUGUAUGAAGAAGGCCUUCGGGUUGUAAAGUACUUUCAGCGGGGAGGAAGGCGGUGAAGUUAAUAACUUCACCGAUUGACGUUACCCGCAGAAGAAGCACCGGCUAACUCCGUGCCAGCCGCCGCGGUAA